rnacentral:lncRNA from 1 species
GGAAGUGGCAAGCAGCCAUGUGCCCACAGAAAUGAGGGGCUCAGAAACUCUCCAAAGAGUGGUCAAGGCAUUAGAUAACCUCACCAUCUACCUGAUCUCUUCCAUAGAUUCCAAGACGAAGCAAUGAUUAGACUCUUACUGUAUUGCAUGCAGUAAUACUACCCAGAAAUGCAAAACUUAGUAAACUGGGUGGCCUAGGCUUUGUUACUCAAGGAUGCUGGCUGUCUCUGACUUGCCUAAUCAUUUGGUUAAAAUGUUUGCAUAUUAUUUUUAAUGUUUGCAUAUUAUAAUGACAUAACAUAAUGCAAACAUGGAAUGUUGCUUUGGUUAUUUUGUUUACUUGUAGAUUUCCUUGCUGUCUGAUUCCCAUGUCAGAUAGAAUAUCAUUAUUAAUAAUUUACAACAUGCUAACACUGUGCUGAAAAUGCUCAUCUCUGGGAUCCGACUUACUCCUCACAAACACUGGUGAAUGACAUCACUUUACUAUGGCACAGCUUCAGCCCAGAGAUGGCAAGCAUCUUGCCAAAGAGAGCACAGCCAGGCUAUGGAAACAUGGAAAUAAAAGUCAGGCCCAGCUUCUACUACCUGAAAGAUUUCCAAGAAUUGUGGCAACCCCAAAACACCUUGGAACUUGUCAAGUUUUACUGGAGAUGAGUUGCAGUUAAUUAAUCCAACAGACACUUUAAUCUUGCAAAUUCUUGACUUGUAAUAUUGUAAUCAAGCAACUGGAACAGAACAUGAAUCAGUUCAUGGACUAGGACAACUUGGUUCAGUGCUGUGACCUGAUGUAUCCAAGCCUGAAGAGACAGACCUCUGAGAAGUAGAGCUAAGGAAAUUGUGCUACCUGGUCCCUCAACACAAAUGCCAUCAGUGUCCAUGGUAUCAUCCUCUUUCUUUAUUUUUUUUCUAGUAAGAACUGCUUUUUAAAAACCAGUCAAUGAAUUCCUGGGGCUUGUAUAACUCAGAGAAAUGGGUAUGGGUCAAAGGGACUUGCUUCAAGUGGAUUGAAGCCCACUUGUUUAGAAAUGAAAAGAGUCUGUCAUCUUUUAUAACUGAUCUACCAUUGCUGCUUUUGAUUUGUUCCAUUGUCAGCAUGAUAAUAACCAACGUGUAAUGUUUUCAUUGAUAAUUCAGUUUCAGAGGUUAAAUCUGCAGUUUUAACUUAAAGGUAUAGUUAUAGAGUGAUUUGAUGCCUGCCUUCCUAAGUGGUAACAUUACCAUUCCCAAACCAAUACCCAUUUCAACAAGGAAUCAACUAGUCUAUGGCUUUUCAAGUCACAUAAAAUCUUGGUUAUGACCUUAAAGAUGACCAACCAAAUGGCCUUAAUGCCUACGUUUUUAUUAUAAGAAAACAGGUGGACUGAGAAUUGACAACCAUGAUUCCUUCCAUUUCUCUUCAAAUAAAGGUGAAAAUGAAGUUGUCAGAGUUAAGAUAUAAAGUAUGUAAGAGUCUGAUGUGCAUGUGACCCUAUUAAAUUUAUAUCUACUCUUUUGGCAUCAUUUUUAGAAGUUAGAUAUAGAUAAAAGGGUGAAAGUCAUCAAGUAUGUCCAAUAAGCACUUUGAAAGGAGAAGAAGAUGGAUCAGGGAUCACUAUGUCCCCACACAAGCAUCUCAGUUGUUCUAUCAGGAUAUUCCCAGAGCUUCUGAGUGCACUCCUGGGAAUCCACAGGGUGCCCAGGCAAGCCAUGUCCCAGAGCAACCUCUGGGUGUAACCACUACAAUUGAAUGAAUGAUAGAAAGGUAGCUUCCUCCCCUGUGACUUACCCUCACAUGCCAAACAACUAGAACUAACAAGCUGAAAAAUGCUCAUUUCCUGACCUACACCCUCCUGUGUAAUUUAUCAUGAGUUGGUUAACUGCAGGGACAUAGGAACAAUAGCAGUCCUCUCUAACAAGGUUCAAGGAGUAAGUGUGACCAUGGGAGUGUUGAGUACCAGGACAAAAGAUUUCUACUAAUGUAGAGGCCCAAGAAAACCUGUCCAUCACUUGUCAGGAACACUCACCAUUUUACCUAGUAGACACAUAAAAUAUCUCUGCCAUUCCAUAAUUAUGGUAAUGUACAUAUCCCUUUAUGAAGGGACAAGGCCUGGUUAAUAUGGAAAGAUAGAGGUCAUGCAGGAAGCUUCAUAUCAAGUGGCUCUUUCUAAGAAAACCUUCCCUCUGAUGGUUCUCCUUGAUUAGUGGUCCUGUAAUGCUCUGUCCAUCAAGAGCUUCUGAUGGAUUAUAAAGCAAGAGAUUACACUCUCACUUAUUAAACAUAAGCUAUUUAAGUAUCACUCUUUUAAUAACAAUGAGAUUCAGGGUUACCAUGGCCUUACUCACCAUCCCAUUGUAAAUAUAUCAAUCAUAACAGGUCUGUGUUCAAAUGCACUCAACUCGUUUAGCCAGUAUCAUCUUUCUUGCAACUCGGUUUGGAUCUUGGUUCUAUCAGUCAGUUAUCUUCUCUGUGUACCUACUCUGAGGCUCAUAAGUCCCGUGUAAGUAAUUUUCAGAACAAUAGAAGAAAAUAAAAAGACAGUUAUGCAAUUUUCCCACUGAGACAGAAAACAUUAGACUGUUGAUCACCCCAAAGUUCUGACUUUUCCUCAUGACUGAGUUUCUUUUUAUUGGCCAGCAUUCAUCAUUUGAAUUUUCCAGGUGAUUGCUGAAUAAUUUUCACCAAGCCAAAGUAGAUAGUGCAGCAUUAUUAAAAAGUAAAGACUGUUCACAUGAAUGCAAACAUCCCUAUGAAAAAUCAAGAAGUCAGUCACUCAAGUAGCACAUGUGGUUUUGUGAUAGCACACAUCUGGAAACUCUCUUUGAGAGACCAGAUGUUUUAGCAUACUGUUUUCCAUCCUGUUUUCUGGUGUAGAUAGACAAACUGCUCAGGUGUUGCAGGUGGAACUUAACUAUCUUGUGCAGUAACCUUUUGUUGGUGACAUUCUGCUGCUAACAAUUCUCUUUGUUAUACAAAGAGAAAUAAAUCGUGCAGAGCAAUUGUGGUCUAUUUUCAUUUCCUUCUGAAAAUGCAUGAGUGUAAGAGGUUGGAUGGCUGUGUCUCAGGUGUGCUAAACAUAACUGCUUGAGGACCUUCUUAAAGUGGCAGUUCUUAGAGGCUUUUCACCGGCUUUUCUGGGCAAGAAAAUUUUUAGCCUUCACUAUGUUUCAAAAUUGUAUCUGCUGUUUAUAAAUCUUAAACAUUUUCAAAAUCUACUGAACAGAAUGGCUUAAGGGAAAUAUAAAAUCUUUUAUCUUCUUAUUGUUCAAAUAGAACUUUUCACUUUAAGUGUCCCUUAUAAUAUCUUAAAGUUAAAGCUGUUUAAAUUGUUUGAUACAAUUACUUCAUGGUGAAUUUUAUGGCUGCAGUUGGAGGAAAAAGUCUAUUUCCCCAAAUCAAACUAAUUGCCUAGCUUUGGGAUUUGGUUUGCUGAUGUCAUUCUAGUUAACAAGUGCUUGCUGGUUACUGUGAAUACUGUAAUGUUAGUAUUCCCCCAGUUGAUCCCUGCCACAUUUCUCCAUGAGGGUAAAAAGAAGUGUUGACCAUGAAGGAAACUUGCCUUCCAGAAGGAGGGAUGAGGAUGCCACACUAGCCCAGAUCUCUUUCUUCCCAGUAACCUUGGGAAGUUGGUCCUGCCCCUCUGAUCUGCUGGGUGAUGAAGAUACGGAUGUCCUCAAGUAGAAUGCUUGCCUCACUGACUGAUCUGAAGUUUGGCAGAAAAACACACAAUCUGUCUGACCUAUUUCCCUUUAAGAGCACUUUAGUGACACAGCUUGCUCUGAGGCACUUACUGUAGGUGAACAAAGAUCUUGGAAGGGCAUUGAGCUAUACAAACAUCUUGAGGGAUUUCCAAAGACAGUACAAAUGUUCCCAAGGACCCAGGUGGCAUUUUGAUUGUGUGAAAGUCUACAUUCAGAGGCAAGAAUAACAUCAUGAGACAGAUGAUGAAAUUCCUCUUGAGUCUCUCCUUUCCUUAGUUGUAGUUUCCCUUAACACCCAAACCUCACCACUAAGCCACAUUUUUCCACUCUAUAUGGUUUUGGCUUUCCCGUUUCCCUUGGGAUUUUAAAUCAUCAAUCUCUGCACCAGUGUGUUACUGAGAGAAUGUCUGGCUGAUAUUACAACAAAAAGGUGGCAAGUGAUUGGCAAUGACACACAGAAAAGCUGUUUCAUUUAUGACCUUCAAUAAAGGUGAUUGAUGUGAAGCUUAUAGAUUAAUAGAAAAGCAGAAAUCCCUGUGUUGAAUAUUAUGGCUAUUUUAAACAUGUUUAAAGAUAUUAUGUGAAACAAUAUCCAUUUAUACUAUGGAAUAUAUUCCAUUCUGGGUACAGUGGCACGGUGGCAUGAGGGCACAUGGUCCAGUGACAGCAGUAAAGAAACUAGGAAUCUGUACACACCUGGGUCCCAACCCUACUCGAUCUCUUUACCUCAAAACUUAUUUUGGCCUCAUUGAUCCCAUAUAAAAGAGUAAGGAUAUUUGUUUACCUACCUCAUAGGGUGUUGUAAAGAAUGUGAGGAUAGAGAGCACCAUGCCUCUUGCUAAGUUGCAAAAACACAGAGAACUGUGUGCAUUACAGGGCUAAGAAGGGUGGGUGCCACAGUUGUCUGAGGAGCAGCAGCUGUUCCAGUUUAUACAGGAAACUUUUCCAUUAAAGGUCCAGGUAGAAAUAAUAAGCUUUCAAUGAAAACAUAUAGACACGGAGUAUUUCCAUAUAGAUGGGCCACUUUCUUCUUAAUCAAGAUGAAUUGCACUAACUGUUUUAAAUACAUCUGGAAAAUCUGGCCCUUUGUGGGAGUUUUCAUGACUGCCCCCAUUUUGCUGAACCAUGUACAGUCUCUAGUUCAGUACUGCUGAUGCCAACUGACAUUCAAGAAUCCAGUCCUGGAUGAGGAUAGUAUUAAGAUUGGAUUUGGAAUCAUUUAAUCAUUAAUCAUUUAAUUUCAUUCCUAACACAACACGUUUGCAAUGGAAGACUGUGAAGCCUUCUUCUGCUUAGAACUCUUGAAUUGAUUUGUCUUCACUACAUUAUAAAUGUACUUCAAAAAUUUCAGAGAAGUGCUUAUACAAUGGCUUCAGCAAUAUAGCAAAGUGUGUGGUUUCGCAUAAAUGUGAUACACUGAAGUUAGUUCCACAAAAGGUUAAAAAAAAAAAAAAAAGGCAAGAUGAUGGUAGGAAAAACAGCCUGAGUGAAAAUCCUAUACAACUCUGCCAAAGCAAUGUAUAUCCCCUUGCUUAAAUGACUAAACUUAACCAGAACUAAUUGCAAAUAAUAUGAUUUGGAGUUACAAACAUUUGUAAUUUUUGAAGCAUAGUUGCAAUUUUAUGAAGUAAGAACACACCCAUGGAACUAUUCUAAAAAUAGGCGUAAUAUUUUUAUGAUGUGAUCUAUUCAGUACCCUUGUUUGACAAUUAUAUUCAUUUACAAAAUAAAUUUAUAGUCUUAAAAAUUGAAAUAGUUUCCAAAUUUUCCCUUGAUGAGUGCAUUCAAAAUCAUGAUGUGCUUGAAUUACAUAUUGACAUCCAGUAUAAUCUUUUUGAACUCUAAAUUUUGUUUCCCAAUAAAGUUAAUCAAAGAUUUAAAUUUCCAAAUUGGUUAAACAUUUCUAACAUUAGGCUUUCUGAAGCAUGACUGUAACAGAAAAUUGUGUAACACCUUAAAAAUAUCUGUACUGCCAGAAUAGACUGAUACCAUAGAAUGAUCAUGUAAGUACAAUGCAUGAGUAAAAGGUAAUUUGGAUAUUCCUCAAUUUCUAUCUCCUCUGAUAUCAAUAUUUUCUACCCAGAAUGCAAAGUGUGUCCUUUUAUCAUGAAAAUAAACAUCUUUUUAUUCAGUUUUAUACAGAAAACUGGUUACUAUUCAGUCUAGUUUCAGAUGGGUUUGCUAGGAUUAGCAGGAGGCAGUGGAGAGAACAUGCUAGAGAGAGAUUUUAUCACACAGAGCAACACAGAAUCUAAGUAUGUAAGAGCUAGAAAGCUUCUUGAAGUAAUGGCUUAAGAGUUUUCACCAGCAGAGAAAAGCACAAGUGCCAACAACACAUCCGUUAGCACAGAUGUAUGUGGCUAUUCAGCUAUAGGCCCACCAUGCACUAAGCAUCACAUAUCUGAUUUUUUGUAAAUACAACUGCCAAAAUUUAUGGCUACAUCUGAUUAACAUUCUUUUCAGUAAACAAGUGAUAAACGUGGACACACAGAGAUAAAUUCCCUACUGCUUCAAAGAAGUAUCCCCAGCUUAUUUAUGUCAAGUAGAUCACUAAUAUAUUACCUUCACAAAAUUUUUUCCAUAACCCCUUUGGUCAAUUGUUUGUUUAAGCCUCAUUUAAAGCCUUUCUGUGAUCAAUGGGGCACAAUGAAAGAGGGUUUUAAAGCUUCUGUUUUAAAAAGGAAGAAAGGAAGAAAAAGAGAGAGAGAGAGAAAGGAAGAAAGAGAGAGGGAGAGAGAGAGAGGGAGAGAGGGAGGAGGAGGAGGAG